GCCGGAGUGGCGGAACGGCAGACGCGGCGGUCUCAAAAACCGUUGUCGAAAGACGUGCGGGUUCAAAUCCCGCCUCCGGCACCA
rnacentral:tRNA from 3 species